rnacentral:rRNA from 1 species
UACGUAGGGUGCAAGCGUUAAUCGGAAUUACUGGGCGUAAAGCGUGCGCAGGCGGUUUUGUAAGUCUGUCGUGAAAUCCCCGGGCUCAACCUGGGAAUUGCGAUGGAGACUGCAAGGCUAGAAUCUGGCAGAGGGGGGUAGAAUUCCACGUGUAGCAGUGAAAUGCGUAGAGAUGUGGAGGAAUACCGAUGGCGAAGGCAGCCCCCUGGGCCAAUACUGACGCUCAUGCACGAAAGCGUGGGGAGCAAACAGGA